rnacentral:rRNA from 1 species
AGUGAACGCUGGCGGCAGGCCUAACACAUGCAAGUCGAACGGAAGCACAGUAAGCUCUCGCUCUUACGGGUGGCGAGUGACGGAUGGGUAAGAACUCAAUCGGAUUCUAAUAAUUCUUGGGGGAUAACGUAGGACCACAUACGCUACUACCGAAUACGCUCUACGGCUUAAAGCAGGGGUUAAUCGGAGCUUGCGCGAUUCAAUUAGCUGAUGUCGGAUUAGCUAGUUGGCGAGGUAAAGGCCCACCAAGGCGACGAUCCGUAGCUGGUCUGAGAGGAUGAUCAGCCACACUGGAACUGAGACACGGUCCAGACUCCUACGGGAGGCAGCAGUGGGGAAUAUUGGACAAUGGGCGCAAGCCUGAUCCAGCCAUGCCGCGUGAGUGAAGAAGGCCUUCGGGUUGUAAAACCCUUUUGUUAGGGAAGAAAAGCUGCAGGAUAAUACCUGGCUGUCCUGACGGUACCUAAAGAAUAAGCACCGGCUAACUACGUG